AGAGUUUGAUCAUGGCUCAGAACUAACGCUGGCGGCGUGCCUAACACAUGCAAGUCGUACGAGAAAGUUAGCUUCGGCCGAUGAGUAAAGUGGCGCACGGGUGAGUAACGCGUGGAUAAUCUACCCCUCAGUUGGGAAUAACUCAUCGAAAGGUGGGCUAAUACCGAAUAAUACUGCAUAACUUCUGUUGUGUAGUCAAAGAUGGCCUCUGCUCGCAAGCUAUCGCUGAAGGAUGAGUCCGCGUACCAUUAGCUAGUUGGUAGGGUAAUGGCCUACCAAGGCAACGAUGGUUAGCUGGUCUGAGAGGAUGAUCAGCCACACUGGAACUGAGACACGGUCCAGACUCCUACGGGAGGCAGCAGUGAGGAAUAUUGCGCAAUGGGGGCAACCCUGACGCAGCAACGCCGCGUGAGUGAGGAAGGUUUUCGGACCGUAAAGCUCUGUCGAGCGGGAGGAAAUGCAUAGUGGUUAAUAUCCAUUAUGCUUGACGGUACCGCUAAAGGAAGCACCGGCUAACUCCGUGCCAGCAGCCGCGGUAAUACGGGGGGUGCUAGCGUUGUUCGGAAUCAUUGGGCGUAAAGAGCGUGUAGGCGGCUGGAUAAGUCAGAUGUGAAAGCCCUGGGCUUAACCCAGGAAGUGCAUUUGAAACUGUUCAGCUUGAGUAAGGGAGAGGAAAGUGGAAUUCCUGGUGUAGAGGUGAAAUUCGUAGAUAUCAGGAGGAACACCGGUGGCGAAGGCGACUUUCUGGCCCUAUACUGACGCUGAGACGCGAGAGCGUGGGUAGCAAACAGGAUUAGAUACCCUGGUAGUCCACGCUGUAAACGAUGUUCACUAGGUGUUGGGGGUAUUGACCCUCUCAGUGCCGCAGCUAACGCAUUAAGUGAACCGCCUGGGGAGUACGGUCGCAAGAUUAAAACUCAAAGGAAUUGACGG
rnacentral:rRNA from 1 species